rfam:Schistosoma haematobium scaffold413_38, whole genome shotgun sequence.
AUCCAACUGACGAGUCUCAAAUAGGACGAAAUGCACAUCUUUGAU